UAGCGUUGUUCGGAUUUACUGGGCGUAAAGCGCACGUAGGCGGGUCGUUAAGUCAGGGGUGAAAUCCCGGGGCUCAACCCCGGAACUGCCUUUGAUACUGGUAGUCUCGAGUCCGGAAGAGGUGAGUGGAAUUCCGAGUGUAGAGGUGAAAUUCGUAGAUAUUCGGAGGAACACCAGUGGCGAAGGCGGCUCACUGGUCCGGUACUGACGCUGAGGUGCGAAAGCGUGGGGAGCAAACAGG
rnacentral:rRNA from 1 species